rnacentral:rRNA from 1 species
UACGUAGGGGGCAAGCGUUGUUCGGAAUUACUGGGCGUAAAGGGCUCGUAGGCGGCCAACUAAGUCGGACGUGAAAUCCCUCGGCUUAACCGGGGAACUGCGUCCGAUACUGGAUGGCUUGAGUUCGGGAGAGGGAUGCGGAAUUCCAGGUGUAGCGGUGAAAUGCGUAGAUAUUGGGAAGAACCCCGGUGGCGUAGGCGACUAGCUGGGCCAUAACUGACACUGAGGAACGAAAGCCAGGGUAGCGAAUGGG